UUCUAACGUGGACCCGUAAUCCGGGUUGCGGACAGUGUCUGGUGGGUAGUUUGACUGGGGCGGUCUCCUCCUAAAGAGUAACGGAGGAGCACGAAGGUUGGCUAAUCCUGGUCGGACAUCAGGAGGUUAGUGCAAUGGCAUAAGCCAGCUUGACUGCGAGCGUGACGGCGCGAGCAGGUGCGAAAGCAGGUCAUAGUGAUCCGGUGGUUCUGAAUGGAAGGGCCAUCGCUCAACGGAUAAAAGGUACUCCGGGGAUAACAGGCUGAUACCGCCCAAGAGUUCAUAUCGACGGCGGUGUUUGGCACCUCGAUGUCGGCUCAUCACAUCCUGGGGCUGAAGUAGGUCCCAAGGGUAUGGCUGUUCGCCAUUUAAAGUGGUACGCGAGCUGGGUUUAGAACGUCGUGAGACAGUUCGGUCCCUAUCUGCCGUGGGCGCUGGAGAACUGAGGGGGGCUGCUCCUAGUACGAGAGGACCGGAGUGGACGCAUCACUGGUGUUCGGGUUGUCAUGCCAAUGGCACUGCCCGGUAGCUAAAUGCGGAAGAGAUAAGUGCUGAAAGCAUCUAAGCACGAAACUUGCCCCGAGAUGAGUUCUCCCUGAGACUUAGAGUCUCCUGAAGGAACGUUGAAGACGACGACGUUGAUAGGCCGGGUGUGUAAGCGCAGCGAUGCGUUGAGCUAACCGGUACUAAUGAACCGUGAGGCUUAACCUUACAACGCCGAAG
rnacentral:rRNA from 3 species